UACGUAGGGGUCUAGCGUUGUCCGGAAUUAUUGGGCGUAAAGAGCUCGUAGGCGGUUCGGCAAGUCGGAUGUGAAAUCUCCACGCUUAACGUGGAGGGGCCAUUCGAAACUGCCGUGACUCGAGUCCGGUAGGGGAGUUCGGAAUUCCCGGUGUAGCGGUGAAAUGCGCAGAUAUCAGGAGGAACACCAAUGGCGAAGGCAGCUCUCUGGUACAUGACUGACGUGAGACGCGAAAGCGUGGGUAGCAAACAGG
rnacentral:rRNA from 1 species